rnacentral:tRNA from 1 species
UUGAAUGUUUUAAAAUAGCUUCUAGCCUGCUUCGGGAGCAGGGGGUCGCAAGUUCAAUUCUUGUCAUCCCGACCA